CAGCCGCCGCGGUAAUACGGGGGGGGCAAGUGUUAUUCGGAAUGACUGGGCGUAAAGGGCACGUAGGCGGUGAAAAGGGUGGAAAGUGAAAGUCGCCAAAACACUGGCGGGGUGCUUUCUUGACCAUUUCACUUGAGUGAGAUAGGGGAGAGUGGAAUUUCGUGUGGAGGGAUCAAAUCCUAAGAUAUACGAAGGAACGCCAACCGCGAAGGCAGCUCUCUGGGUCCCCACUGACGCUGGGGUGCGAAAGCAUGGGGAGAAAACAGGAUCAGAUACCCCUGUAGUCCCUGUCUCUUAUACA
rnacentral:rRNA from 1 species